GAUGAACGCUGGCGGCGUGCCUAAUACAUGCAAGUCGAGCUGACCAAAGAGAGCUUGCUCUCUGAGGUUAGCGGCGGACGGGUGAGUAACACGUGGGUAACCUGCCUGUAAGACGGGGAUAACUUCGGGAAACCGAAGCUAAUACCGGAUGAUAAAGAGAAACGCCUGUUUCUUUUUUGAAAGUCGGCCUUGUGCUGAAGCUUACAGAUGGGCCCGCGGCGCAUUAGGUAGUUGGUGAGGCAAUGGCUCACCAAAGCGACGAUGCGUAGCCGACCUGAGAGGGGGUUCGGCCACACUGGGACGGAGACGCGGCCCAGACUCCGACGGGAGCGAGCAGUAGGGAAUCUUCGGCAAUGGACGGAAGUCUGACCGAGCAACGCCGCGUGGGCGAUGAAGGCCGUCGGGUCGUAAAGCUCUGUUGUCAGAGAAGAACAAGUACCGGAGUAACUGCCGGUACCUUGACGGUACCUGACCAGAAAGCCACGGCUAACUACGUGCCAGCAGCCGCCGUAA
rnacentral:rRNA from 1 species